GGGUGGGGGGUGAGGCGCCAAUUUGGAUUUCGCCUAGGGCAUCAAAAUGGCUAGAAACGGCCCUGUCUACAACAUUCAUCUUUACAAUG